rnacentral:rRNA from 1 species
AUGCCGGCCAGCAGCCACCCGCCGUCGCCGGCGUCUCCGCUAGAGGACGACAACCUGCUACCCCAGAUCCUCCUCCGCCUUCCUCCGGAUCCUUCCUCGCUCCCGCGCGCAUCCCUCGCUUGCACGCGCUGGCGCAACCACGUCGCCGACCCGGGAUUCCGCCGCCGAUUCCGCCUCCACCACCGCCGCAACCCUCCCCUCCUCGGCUUCUUCGACGGGUGCGGAAGCCUGGACUUCAUGCCGACGCUGGAGGCCCCCGACCGCGUCGCUCCCGAGCGCUUCUCGCUGCAGCGCGACGAGGGCGACGGCGUUUGCAGGCCGCUCGGAAGCCGCCACGGUCUGAUGCUAAUCAUAGUCCCCAAGCGUCUUCAGGUACUGGUGUGGGACCCCUUCACCGGCGACCAGCACCGCCUGGAUGUUCCCCCGGGGCUCACGACUAAUGGUUGGGAUGAGCGCCUGAUCAACGGGGCGGUGCUUCGCGCUGCCGCUGGAGACUCCGAGCACUUUCAGGUGGUCUUGGUGGCGGCAGACGGUGGGCAAGAAAACCGACGAGCAGUGGCCUGCGUCUACUCGUCGGAGACCGGCGCAUGGGGAGGGUUCAUCACAACACCCCUUCCAAACCAUGGUCAUGCGAGCAGCUUAUUUUCGAGGUAUUCCACCAGCGUUUACAUGGAUCAUGCUGUGUUGGCUGGAGAUUCCCUUUACUGGCAGCUCAUUGGGAAUUUCCAAGGAAUUCUCCAGUUUGAUUUGGAGAGGCAGAUGCUGGACGUAAUGCCGGUGCCGGUGCCAAUCUAUAGCAAGGGCAACUGCUUCAAGCUUAUGCGGGCCAAGGGUGGUGGUGGUGGGAUAGGUUUCCUCUUCAUGUCCAAUUCAAACUACAUUGCCCAGCUAUGGAGCAGGAAGACCGAUGCCGAUGGUGUUGCUUCAUGGGUGAUCGGAAGGUCUAUCGAACUCGACAAGUUACUUUCGCUCCGUUCAGGGAAGGAGAACAUAAGGAUCGUAGGGUUUGCAGAGGACAACAAUGUGGUACUCAUGGAUAUGCUAAGGGGCUUCUUCAUGAUCCAACUCGACUCAAUGCAGUUCAAGAAGCUUGCCAGACCCAAGGCAGCGGUGUCCUGUUGUCAUGCGUUUGAAAGCGUCUACGCUGCAUCUUCAACAUAUAUAUUGCGAUGA